ensembl:snRNA U2 U2 spliceosomal RNA
AUUCCUUCUUGGCCUUUUGGCUAAGAUCAAGUGUAAAAACAGUAAUAUAACACAGCUGCUUAAAAAGACUCUGACUUCAGAAAAAGGAUCAACAUUUUUAUUAAAACGAUCACUAAAAGAAAUCUAAUAUAGUGAACUUACUUUUCUGACAGAUGCUCUAGUUUUCAUGUGAUUGUUCCUGAAAGACUGGAAGGUCGC